AGCUUCUGUGUUGGGGCCCAUCCCCAACUUGCACAUUAUUGUAAGCUGACUUUUCGUCAGCUUCUGUGUUGGGGCCCACACCCCAACUCACAUUGCCUGUAGAAUUUCUUUUCGAAAUUCUCUGUGUUGGGGCCCCUGACUAGAAUUGAAAACUUGUUACAAGCUUAUUUUCAUUCAAUUAACUACUGUCUAUAUAAAAUUGUUGAGCCAAGAACA
rnacentral:ncRNA from 1 species